AGUGUUCUUAGAGACGCGAGAGUCCCUCUUGGACCAAGGCUUCUAAUACUUGACCACAUUGCAAGGGAUCCUGAACUGCAAAAGAUGCGGCAACAUCAUGUUGGGUGAAACUGAUGGUAAGCACCAAGCAUUUAAGUUUACAAGUUAACCAAGGGUGUCAGGCGUGAGUCUCAUACUUGAAGAUAGAUGUUCGAGUCCCUUGCUACAGAGAAAAUGAUGUUAUUUACAAGUUUUUCAGUGUUUUAUUGUUCUGGAAUCAAGUUUAAGAGGCAUCAAUGUUUAGUAAAUAUUUACAAGUUUUUCAGUGUUUUAUUGUUCUGGAAUCAAGUUUAAGAGGUAUCAAUGUUUAGUAAAACUAGUUUUUGUGCAACUGAGAGGAUUUUUUUUUUCGUUUCUAAAUUCUAAUCGGAAGUUCUAGUGAGGAUUGAAAAAGAUCCACCCUUCAUUUUAGAAGAUCUGCUAGUGAAGAAUGUAAAAUGGGAUCUGGACAAUGUACAAGCAGUUUAAAAAAAACGUAAUUUUAACUAGACUUUUCCA